rnacentral:rRNA from 1 species
GAUGAACGCUGACAGAAUGCUUAACACAUGCAAGUCAACUGUGGCGGACGGGUGAGUCACGCGUAAAGAACUUGCCUCACAGAUAGGGACAACAUUUGGAAACGAAUGCUAAUACCUGAUACUGUAAGAGAGCUUUGCGUCCCAUUAGCUAGUUGGAGAGGUAACGGCUCACCAAGGCGAGGAUGGGUAGCCGGCCUGAGAGGGUGAUCGGCCACAAGGGGACUGAGACGCUGCCCUUACUCAUACGGGAGGCAGCAGUGGGGAAUAGUGGACAAUGGACCAAAGUCUGAUCCAGCAAUUCUGUGUGCACGAUGAAUUUGUCGGAAGGUAAAGUGCUUUCAGUUGGGAAGCGGUACCAACAGAAGAAGUGACGGCUAAAUACGUGCCAGCAGCCGCGGUAAUUC